rnacentral:lncRNA from 1 species
AAAAGCCUAAGAUAUCUUCAGAGUCUAAUGCUUCUUGGCAGCUAAUCUGAAGCAAAUCUGGAGAGGACAACUGCAAUACCUUAGAGUUCUUACCAAGCCCUGUUGGACCACAUCACAGUAGAGUUUGUGGUCAGCUAGAAACCCCAUCUCUGUCACUGCAGAGCUCAGGCAUGCCUUGAGACAAGAGUAACUACAUGUGCUUUAUCUAUCCUACAUACUCCUUUUUUGAGCACCUCCCAGACAUUACCGUGUUUAUCCUCUUAGCACCUCUGUAAUUAUCUCUCUUGUAACAGAUGGGAAACAGAAGAGCACGGAGAUUUUGCAAUUUGAGCUGAGCCAGGCAGGAGCUCUUUGGCAGAAGAAGAGGCCUCCCGAGGGCCACACAACAACUGCAUUGUGAUAGGAUGCUCCAUGGGAGACAGCAGCUUGUAAAAGCAGUCGGGGUCUACCAGAGAACACCACAAUAAACAACACAAAACACAAGAAGGAGCCCGCCAACUGCAGAAAGCCAGCAACAGGAUCAAAAGAGAAAUGUCCCAGGUACAAACAAGAGCCGGGAGGAAUGACAUGACUGCAGCCUGGAAAACCUAUAAUGUCUGCAAGGGCUAGAAGCUGGAGGCAUCGGCAGUUUGGCAGCAGCCUCCCCAGGAAUGAGCUGAGGACAUCAAGCAACUCCCUACUCUCAGCUGCUGGGUGCCACCAAAGCUAUUUCACAUACCUAGAAAGCAACGGCACAAAUCUUCAGCAAGAAUCAAGGAGGAAUCAUGCAAGAAAAGCUGCCCUGAAGACGUUGCUUCCUAGAGAUACAAGAGAUGGGGCUGCUCGCACCAUUGAAGUGGGAGAGGAAGUGGACAUUUAG